CCCUACGGGGCGCAGCAGGCGCGAAAACUUCACAAUGUGCGAAAGCACGAUGAGGGAAUCCCAAGUGCUUGCACGUAAGUGUAAGCUGUUUCUUUGUUUAAAACGCAUAGAGAGUAAGGGCUGGGUAAGACGGGUGCCAGCCGCCGCGGUAAUACCUGCAGCUCAAGUGGUGGCCGCUAUUAUUGGGCCUAAAACGUCCGUAGCCGGUUUAUUAAAUGCCUGGGUAAAUCGUGUAGCUUAACUAUACGAAUUCCGGGUAGACUGAUAAACUUGAGAUCGGGAGAAGUUAGAGGUACUCCUGGGGUAGAGGUGAAAUUCUGUAGUCCUAGGGGGACCACCAGUGGCGAAGGCGUCUGACUAGAACGGGUCUGACGGUGAGGGACGAAGCCCUGGGGCGCAAACCGGAUUAGAUACCCGGGUAGUCCAGGGUGUAAACGCUGCUUGCUUGAUGUUAGUCGGGCUCCGAGCCCGAUUAGUGUCGGAGAGAAGUUGUUAAGCAA
rnacentral:rRNA from 1 species